GAUGAACGCUGGCGGCGUGCUUAACACAUGCAAGUCGAACGGGAAACCUUUUAUUGAAGCUUCGGCAGAUUUAGCUGGUUUCUAGCGGCGGACGGGUGAGUAACGCGUGGGUAACCUGCCUUAUACAGGGGGAUAACAGUCAGAAAUGGCUGCUAAUACCGCAUAAGCGCACAGAGCUGCAUGGCUCAGUGUGAAAAACUCCGGUGGUAUAAGAUGGACCCGCGUUGGAUUAGCUGGUUGGUGGGGUAACGGCCCACCAAGGCGACGAUCCAUAGCCGGCCUGAGAGGGUGAACGGCCACAUUGGGACUGAGACACGGCCCAGACUCCUACGGGAGGCAGCAGUGGGGAAUAUUGCACAAUGGGGGAAACCCUGAUGCAGCGACGCCGCGUGAAGGAAGAAGUAUCUCGGUAUGUAAACUUCUAUCAGCAGGGAAGAUAAUGACGGUACCUGACUAAGAAGCCCCGGCUAACUACGUG
rnacentral:rRNA from 1 species